UGCCUAACACCUUUUUCUCUCUAAGUUUCAUUGGGUCCUUUUUAGUAUGUAUACUAUUUCUGUUUCUAUUCUAUUUUUUUGACGUAUAGACUAAUCUGUUUUAUAAUUUUUUUUUCAGUUGUUUGCUUGGUAUCCAAUGCUAGGAUUUCGGUAUUUUCGGGCUACUUUUUUCUAACAAUUUGCAGGUAGUGGUGGAGAAUAUUUUUAGCUUCUCUUUAGUUCGUGGUAGGAGUAAUAUCUGGAGGUUUUUCCUGCAGUGGUUUAUGAGGGAGAAAUUUACUUUCAUAUGAUUUGAUUUUUCAUUUUUCUUGUAUAGCGUUGAACUUCGAUGUUGAUGUUGAUUUGUUGUGCACAAACUCUGGAGUGAACUAGGAUUGUUUGUUGUAUAUUUUAUAUGGAUUGAUUGAGGUC